rnacentral:misc_RNA from 1 species
GAUGAAGAACGUAGCGAAAUGCGAUAAGUAGUGUGAAUUGCAGAAUUCAGUGAAUCAUCGAAUCUUUGAACGCACAUUGCGCCCGCCAGCACUCUGGCGGGCAUGCCUGUCCGAGCGUCAUUUCAACCCUCGCGCCGUCCCUCCAGGGGGCUCGGCGCGGUGUUGGGGGACACGGCCCCGGCCGCCCCCGAAAUGCAGUGGCGACCCCGCCGCGGCCCCUCCAGCGCAGUAAGCACGCUCGCUACGGGAGGCCCGGUGGACGCGUCCGCCGUAAAACGCCCAACUCUUCAGAAGUUGACCUCGGAUCAGGUAGGGAUACCCGCUGAACUUAAGCAUAUCAAUAAGCGGAGGA